AGCAGCUGAACAGGAGACCACAGCAGCUCAACAGGAGACCACAGCAGCUCAACGGGUGUUGUGGAAUUAUUGUAAUCAGAAGGAGAGACUUUUACAUUUCCUCAAAACAAGUAACUUUAUUAUGUAAUUACUGCAGUAAUGGAGCUGGUUGGUAACCACCCCUGGAGACCACAGCAGUAAACACAAGAAGCAGAGAGCUGCAGCUCAGACAGUAAUGGAGCUGGUUGGUAACCACCCCUGGAGACCACAGCAGUAAACACAAGAAGCAGAGAGCUGCAGCUCAGACAGUCAUGGAGCUGGUUGGUAACCACCCCUGGAGGUGAUCGCUGAGAACUCAAUGAGCGGAUUUGAGCCACAGCGUUUUAUAGUAAAGUCCAACCUCCUGGAUGUUCAUCACAAACAACAGAUGAGACUACAGCAGAUCGACAGGAGACCACAGCAGCUCAACAGGAAGCUACACAGCAGAUCAACAGGAAGCUACACAGCAGAUCAACAGACCACAGCAGCUCAACAGGAGACCACAGCAGCUCAACAGGAGACCACAGCAGCUGAACAGGAGACCACAGCAGCUCAACAGGAGUCCACAGCAGCUCAACAGGAGUCCACAGCAGCUCAACAGGAGACCACAGCAAAUCAACAGGAGACCACAGCAGCUCAACAGGAGACCACAGCAGCUCAACGGGUGUUGUGGAAUUAUUGUAAUCAGAAGGAGAGACUUUUACAUUUCCUCAAAACAUGUAACUUUAUUAUGUAAUUACUGCAGUAAUGGAGCUGGUUGGUAACCACCCCUGGAGACCACAGCAGUAAACACAAGAAGCAGAGAGCUGCAGCUCAGACAGUAAUGGAGCUGGUUGGUAACCACCCCUGGAGACCACAGCAGUAAACACAAGAAGCAGAGAGCUGCAGCUCAGACAGUAAUGGAGCUGGUUGGUAACCACCCCUGGAGACCACAGCAGUAAACACAAGAAGCAGAGAGCUGCAGCUCAGACAGUAAUGGAGCUGGUUGGUAACCACCCCUGGAGGUGAUCACUGAGAACUCAAUGAGCGGAUUUGAGCCACAGCGUUUUAUAGCAAAGUCCAACCUCCUGGAUGUUCAUCACAAACAACAGAUGAGACUACAGCAGAUCGACAGGAGACCACAGCAGCUCAACAGGAAGCUACACAGCAGAUCAACAGGAAGCUACACAGCAGCUCAACAGGAGACCACAGCAGCUCAACAGGAGACCACAGCAAAUCAACAGGGAGACCACAGCAGAUCAACAGGAGACCGCAGCAGCUUAACAGGAAGCUACACAGCAGAUCAACAGGAAGUUACACAGCAGAUCAACAGGAAGCGACACAGCAGCUAAACAGGAAGCUACACAGCAGAUCAACAGGACACCACAGCAGCUCAACAGGAGACCACAGCAGAUCAACAGGAAGCUACUAAGCAGCUCAACAGGAGACCACAGAAGCUCAACAGGAGACCACAGCAGCUCAACAGGAAGCUACUAAGCAGCUCAACAGGAGACCACAGAAGCUCAACAGGAGACCACAGCAGCUCAACAGGAAGCUACUAAGCAGCUCAACUGGAGACCACAGAAUCUCAACAGGAGACCA